rnacentral:lncRNA from 1 species
CCGCUAUCAUUCUCGGAGGUUUGGACUUCGUGGUGUCACUCUCCCCAAGUCAGAACAAUGUCUCCUACCCUAGACUGCUUGCUUAUCACCUCGAUGUGGAGCCCCUGGAAAGAACGAAACUCCAGAGUUUUCAGAUUUUGUGCUUACAUGCCACAUGCUGCAGCUCGAAAAGCUGUCUCUAUCUUUCUUGAAUGGCUGGUGGACGAUCCUCACCCUAAUAUUACUCUUGUGCAUUCUCAGUUAUCCCAGCUAAUCCAGGCAUCAAGAUAAUAUAUCCCUAUGUGAUA